rnacentral:rRNA from 1 species
UGGGGAAUAUUGCACAAUGGAGGGAACUCUGAUGCAGCGACGCUGCGUGAGUGAUGAAGGAAUUCGUUUCGUAAAACUCUGUUCUAUGGGAAGAAAAGGACUGUACCAUAGGAGAAAGCUCCGGCUAAAUACGUGCCAGCAGCCGCGGUAAUACGUAUGGAGCGAGCGUUGUCCGGAAUUAUUGGGCGUAAAGGGUGCGCAGGCGGCUUUACAAGUUGGAUGUGAAAUAUUGUGGCUCAACCACAAACGUGCAUCCAAAACUGCAAAGCUUGAGUUAAGGAGAGGUAAGUGGAAUUCCUGGUGUAGCGGUUGACUGCGUAGAUAUCAGGAGGAAUACCGGUGGCGAAGGCGACUUGCUGAACUUAUACUGACGCUCAGGCACGAAAGCGUGGGGAGCAAACAGG